CGUUACUCCUGGUGUCAAGCACAGUGAACUCUUUUUUGUGAUAUGCUUGCCGGGCAACUACGUCUUAAAGGGUAAAAGUCGAAGUAAUUGGCGGUCUAGAGAUUAACCAGCUCGCGAGACUUGACGGUUAAUCCGAUGAUCCGCGUAAAUUCUACUCUUUCUUGAAUUCCCAGUUGGUGUAUGGCCGUGUAGUGCUUCUUGAAAGGGAGUUGCGAGAUCCAUGCUCAUUGUUAGUAUACGUGGGCUUGUGGAGGAAGGCAGGUCGUCAUGCCGCCCAUGAAGGAGGCUUAGUUGAGUCACAUUGAAAUUAAAUCAAGCGGAACCGAGGAAGGAAGUAGCCCGGGGAAGAAGUAGUGGGUAGUAAGAAGAGAAUAAUUCGCUUUUUUGAAUCGAGAACUCCUAGGUGCACAAAUCGCCCGUCGCCCCCAGAGCCAAGGGAUA
rnacentral:rRNA from 1 species